CGGGAAAGCAAAGCUCACUGCCAUAGGAAAUGUCUGUUCUCUAAAUAUGCCUGUCAACACACCCCUGGGACUUGUGUGUUUUACAAGAUACUUAUCAGGGUGUGUGGCUCCAGCUGCCAGUUGUUUGUGUGCUCUUGAAACGGAUUCAUCUGCGAACGGUGUCAAACGAGCGCAGCCACUGCGGGGAUCUGCUGUUCGCAUCCACUUCCGCCUACGCCAGUGCGCUGAAGACGGACGCGUGUGCAACCACUUGAGGGGUGUUGGAGCCAAAGACACGGCAAAGGUCGGUUACUUGGAAAGGAAUGCAUCUGAUACUGGCAACAAAAAUCCAGAUGCCCCGUCCCUCCUUCCACCAGUGCGGGGACAUGUCAUCCGUGACCCCUCCCCCAUGGGGACAAAAGGUCACUGACCACUACAGUGCGAGUGAUAACUGCAUUAGCCUUUCAAAACUCCCAAGAACCCAGGCAGUAAAUGCAAAAGUAGGUACAAUAUCUACUCCUGAACGUGUGGACCGUGUGAGUCCGGGCAUCGUGGAUCCUUCUUCUGGACAGCAAUGCAUCGAUCGUGUUGUUCUUCUGCUGGAAUUGAAAUGUUGAUUCUGAAAAAUAGGGCAAAAUCAACAUCAUGACCUCAACAGCAAAAUAUUCCAGAACUAAAUGCACUUUCCGUAGGAAUGCUAGGCCUGCAGGAACAGAAAGCGUGCCUGAGUAAUUUUAAUAAUGACUACCAGGUUCCUAGAUCCGCCGUUUUGGAAAACAUACGAUGUGAAAAUGUCAACAGAGUCAAAACGCUUUUUCUUAAAAAUCCAGCAAAUCUUUUCAUUUACUUAUUUUGCAGACUCUUUUCUUCAAAGCAACUUCCAAUGUAUACUAUGUAGUGUUAUGAGCCCACACACCUUAUUCACCAAGGUGACUUACACUGCUAGAUACACUACUUGUAAUGGGUCACUCAUCCAUACAUCAGUGAAACACACUCUCUCUGUAUCAGUCACACACUAUGGGGGAACGUGAACAGAAUGUCUUUGGACUGUGGGAGGAAACCAGAGCACCUGGAGGAAACCCACGCAGACGUGGGGAGAACAAGCAAACUCCACACGGAGUGAGUGGGGAUCAAACCCACAUCCACCUAGGUGCUGUGAGACAGCAGCACUACUUGAUGUGCCACCGCGUCACCUGUUGACAUGCUUUAGUCACAUCAUUGUACGUUGAUCGAAAUCAACUCAUCCAUUCGCACAUUUUAGGAAAGGUAUUGCUUUAAAGAGUACAAGAGCAUCCUUGGCUUUGAACUGGAAAACGGGAAAGUGCUCAAAGUCAGCGUGACAAACCAUUCAGACAACUUGCGUUAGUCAUAGACCUCAGCUGACGAGUCCUCGUUCAUCCCGUUCUAUUGACAGAAAUUUUCAGCUGUGCGGAAACAAAGAGCAAUAUGAGUUUCUAUAACUUCUGGAGAGAUUUGUACCUAAGAAACAACUUUUUCUGGUGUCCUUUUGCGAUACUCUAAACGGUUAAUUGGACCUUUGCCUCGUAGCAGAAAGCAGUUUGAGUUAUUUUAGGAGAGUGGAACGGGGCCUGUAAAUUUACUGCUCUAAGCAAGCUGUACGGACCACCCUGAGUGAAAUAACACAUAAUACAAUCCAGAGCCUGCGUUCUCUUUUCCCUUGUCUUCCCACGUUGUAUCUACCUAUAUCUCGCACCAAGUGAGCUCUCUCCUUACCAAAAUUCUUGUGCACAGUCCGUGAUAUAAUAAACGCAUAAUCCUGUGCCGGCUCA
rnacentral:lncRNA from 1 species